GCCCUGGUGUCUCAGUGGUAAAGAUUCUGCCUGCAAUGCAGAAAACCGAGGUUCAGCCCCUGGGUG
rnacentral:tRNA from 1 species